AUUGAACGCUGGCGGCAGGCCUAACACAUGCAAGUCGAACGAGUGGCGGACGGGCGAGCAAUGUCUGGGAAUCUGCGUGAGGGAGGGGGAUAACUACUGGACACGGUAGCUAAUACCGCAUACCAUCAGAUGCGCCCAGAUGGGAUUAGCUUGUUGGUGGGUGAACGGCUCACCAAGGCGACGAUCCCUAGCUGGUCUGAGAGGAUGACCAGCCACACUGGGACUGAGACACGGUCCAGACUCCUACGGGAGGCAGCAGUGGGGAAUAUUGCACAAUGGGCGCAAGCCUGAUGCAGCCAUGCCGCGUGUAUGAAGAAGGCCUUAGGGUUGUAAAGUACUUUCAGCAGGGAGGCGUUACCCACAGAAGAAGCACCGGCUAACUCCGUGCCAGCAGCCGCGGUAAUUC
rnacentral:rRNA from 1 species